GAACUUUCUGGGAGUAGUUUACAUGGAUUUUCUGUCACUCGCUAGUGCCGGCAGGCACGUUCAAAGCUGGCACCUUCUGCUAGCUCCAGGGAAUUCUAUGGUGGUGAGGAAGCUGUGGAGGGCCUCUACAGCAUCUGUCUAUUGCUGGGGUGCAAGGAUGGCCUAACGUGAGGUCAGUAUAGCAUAAAGGUGAUGUGGAUUUAUUUGCCUAAGCAUAGAGAUCUAAUCACUUUGGACACUGCGAUCUGGACUCCAUCUGCCUCUCCAGAAGGGCACAAAUCUCCUGUGGGUCCUAUCUAUCAGCCAUGGGCAAACAUCUUGGAAAUGUGCUAAAUUAAUACCCAACUCACUUGAAGGAUUUAGAGUAUGUAACUCAGCCAUCAUUUAUCAUGCAGACAAAGAUCUUCAGAUCUUUUCAGGGGCUGAAACACCUCUCCUGUAGGGAGAGGCUGAGUGAGCUGGGCCUGUUCAGCCUGAGGAAAAGGAAGAUCAGGGUGAUCUCACCAAUGUCUGUAAACACCUGGGGGUAUACUUGCAGGGAACUGAUCUCCAGAGAGCACAUGAAGCUGAUGUCCCAGAACAAUAUCUUCAGGAACUGAUAAGCGUUCUUUCCUUUCAUUUAUCAACCGGCAGCAGACAUUCAGCAGAUGUAAUUUCAGAAAGCGAGGCCAGGAAACGCUCGUAUGAGGAGCCUUCUCACACCUGUCACAAGUGUGAGCACUCUGUGAAAGACCCAGAGGAAAUGCAAUUACUGCCACCACCUUCAGAGAAGCCACUUAGUCACUUAAAGUGGAAGACACAGAGAAAACAUCUGUCUUCAGAAAUUCCAGCUUCCCGUUUCUACUCUCGUUUGUCAAGAAACCCUGCGGGCAACUCCCCAGCAAUCCUUCAUUUCCCCCACCUGGAUUACAAGAUUAAGAUUCAUCUGGGAAGAAAAUAGAGCAUUUUAAUUCUAGACUUGAUGAAAUCAUUAUCUGCAACUGUCAAGACAAAAAUGACUUGAAGACAGAUCAUCUUGUUAUAGAAGACUUGCUUCAGCAGUCUGGAACUUACCACCAAUUUAGUUAUGUCAAUACAUUAAAGUUCCUUUUCAGUCAAGAUGAGGUGUGAAGUAGUAAAAUAGAUAUGUUUAAUCCAAUUUUAAUGAUCACCAAUUUUUAAUUAGUUGCAGAAAUGAACAGCAAAGAAAUAAUGUUAAAUAUUUUAGCUGAGAGGUUUAGGGAUUGAAAUAUUCACUUCAUGACUAAUGGAAAUGUCACUGAAAGCUGUGCUCCAGGGGUACUCCUGGUGAGUUCUGGCUGCUCAUGAGCAUUUGGGAACAGGAUCUGCAGCAGCUCAAAGCAACCCCCUGACCCGCAUGAAGUGUGAGCACAGGUUCUUCAGUUCUCAGUUUAUAACUACAGUGCCCCACUGUGAUGCUAGCUGAUGCAGAGCCCUGCCCAUAUGGCAGUAUGUGCUAGGCAGUCUGUCUUGCUGCUCACUGUGUGUUAUCCCAGCACAGGAAUGGGUGACUGACACUUCACCACAUGUGUUAUGUAAUGUUUCUGUUAUGGUUUCCUUCAGGUACUUGCAAAUGAGAAGGACAGAAAAGGGUUGUGGAAUGAAAUUUGCCUUUCAUAUAUGAAACUCAAGAACACCAGAAUACAGACUUGAUGAUUUAAAAGAUGAAUAUUAAUUAGCAUGAUAGAUAAACUAGCAAGUGUCUUUGGGAAGACAGAGUAGUACUUCUUCAAAAAAUACUGGUCUGUGACCAUCUAUUUAGACAAAGAUUUCAAGAAACCAUGAAUAUGUAGGGCAGCUCUUCUAAAUAAAUGCAUUCCAACAAGGAGCA
rnacentral:lncRNA from 1 species